UACGUAUGGUGCAAGCGUUAUCCGGAUUUACUGGGCGUAAAGGGAGCGCAGGCGGCGCGCCAAGUCUGAUGUGAAACCCCGGGGCUCAACCCCGGGCAUGCAUUGGAAACUGGCGGGCUGGAGUGCCGGAGAGGUAAGCGGAAUUCCUAGUGUAGCGGUGAAAUGCGUAGAUAUUAGGAGGAACACCAGUGGCGAGGGCGGCUUACUGGACGGCAACUGACGCUGAGGCUCGAAAGCGUGGGGAGCAAACAGG
rnacentral:rRNA from 1 species